UUGAAUUCCACAAGUGAAAUUCCAUGACAAGGUCCUCAUACUGAUAAAGUUAAUUAUAUCCUAAUCCUCAUCAAUUUGAUUAAUAUUUGCUUGAGCAGAUUAAAAGUUUUUUCAUCAACUAGAGAGUUCAAGCUGAGGAAUUACACUGGGAGCAUGGCUCUACAAAGGCCAAAUUAUGAUCACAAUUACCAUCCAAUUUCCCAUAAGAAGCCUCUAAUUGUCAAUUGAGUGAAG
rnacentral:lncRNA from 1 species